UAGGGAAUAUUAGAAAUGGACGAAAGUCUGAUCUAGCAACACCGCGUGUGCGAAGAAGGCCUUCGGGUUGUAAAGCACUUUUUGGAAGGAUUAGGAAGGAAUGUACUUCCAGAAUAAGUCUCGGCUAACUACGAGCCAGCAGCCGCGGUAACACGUAGGAGGCGAACGUUAUCCGGAUUUACUGGGCGUAAAGCGCGUGUAGGUGGUUCUGUAAGUAGGGCGUGAAAGCUCCUGGCUCAACUGGGAGAGGCCGUUCUAAACUGCAGAGCUAGAGGAUGGUAGAGGGAGGUGGAAUUCCGGGUGUAGCGGUGGAAUGCGCAGAUAUCCGGAGGAACACCAGUGGCGAAGGCGGCCUCCUGGACCAUUCCUGACACUCAGACGCGAAAGCGUGGGGAGCAAACA
rnacentral:rRNA from 1 species